rnacentral:rRNA from 1 species
AUUGAACGCUGGCGGCAGGCUUAACACAUGCAAGUCGAGCGGGGGAAGGUAGCUUGCUACCGGACCUAGCGGCGGACGGGUGAGUAAUGCUUAGGAAUCUGCCUAUUAGUGGGGGACAACAUCUCGAAAGGGAUGCUAAUACCGCAUACGUCCUACGGGAGAAAGCAGGGGAUCUUCGGACCUUGCGCUAAUAGAUGAGCCUAAGUCGGAUUAGCUAGUUGGUGGGGUAAAGGCCUACCAAGGCGACGAUCUGGAGCGGGUCUGAGAGGACGAUCCGCCACACUGGGACUGAGACACGGCCCAGACUCCUACGGGAGGCAGCAGUGGGGAAUAUUGGACAAUGGGGGGAACCCUGAUCCAGCCAUGCCGCGUGUGUGAAGAAGGCCUUAUGGUUGUAAAGCACUUUAAGCGAGGAGGAGGCUACUUUAGUUAAUACCUAGAGAUAGUGGACGUUACUCGCAGAAUAAGCACCGGCUAACUCUGUGCCAGCCGCCGCAGUAA